rnacentral:lncRNA from 1 species
CACCAUUAACUCGGAUUUAGAACCAUAAGUAGAACAACCAUCAUCCUCGUCCAACACUGCAUAUGGGAGGUUGAACUCACUUCGCUCAUCCUCCACAUCCUCUUUAUCCUCUCCUUGAAGGAAAAAAAGUUUUGAAGCACUAUCUCUAUUCAGAUUUAUGGCGUUUGUCCUCACUCCACUAUUUAUGUUCGGCCUCACUUCACUAUUGCAUCUGUUUGGCCUCAUUACGUCGGGGUUGAAUGUUCCAUUCAGAUUUGCUAUACUCAUCCUCACUUCACAAUCUAUAUUGUUCGUCUUCGCUCCACUACCAUAUUUGCUUGUCCUCACUCCAUCGUUAGGGCUAGACUCUCAUCUAUCCCCUCUACCCCCUUCUCCGAAGAAAAAAAAGUUUAAAGUGUCAAGGCAAAAAAGAGAAAUUGAAAAAAAUUAAGGAAAAACAAUUGUGGAAGAAGAAAAAGUGAAUAAAGAAGCAUCAGAAGAAAAAUUUACAGC